rnacentral:rRNA from 1 species
UACGUAGGUGGCAAGCGUUGUCCGGAUUUAUUGGGCUUAAAGGGUGCGUAGGCGGCUUAUUAAGUCAGUGGUGAAAUACUCUAGCUCAACUAGAGGGGUGCCAUUGAUACUGAUGAGCUUGAGUACAGAUGAGGUAGGCGGAAUUGACGGUGUAGCGGUGAAAUGCUUAGAUAUGACAUAGAACACCAAUUGCGAAGGCAGCUUACUACACAGUUAUUGACGCUGAGGCACGAAAGCGUGGGGAUCAAACAGG